rnacentral:misc_RNA from 1 species
GUGGACCAAUGUAAUGCAUAUUCCGCUGGUCCUUGAUUUCCUUAGUGUAUUAGCCUUGAACGUUAAGCCAGUAUCUUAUUUGUGGUAUCUCUUGUGGGAUGCGAUAUACGGAACAGGAUUUGCAGAAAUGGAAUUUAGAUAUUCAGCUGUUUAAUUAUAAGCAAAUAAUAUGUAACAACUAACAUAUCUGAAAGUAUGAAAAAUGGAGCUGUAUUAUGAUCAUUGAACUGGAAGAUAGAAAUAUUAUUUAAAUCAGAGGUGAAAUCAUAGAAAAAUGCUGAAUUAAAUCGUGGAUAUAAUUGAUGUUUCUCUAGUUGUCUUCAUCAUAUCUACAUUUACUAGCAAUGCAGGCUAUAAGUAGGUAAAAAUUAUGAAAACAUUCUUUGUGGAACCAUUUGUUUUUCUUUUCAUGUUUGGUGUCAGCAUUAAAUCAGUAACUUUUCAAGACUUGUUACUGUUAAAGACAUGUACAGACCUGAAUGUAACAACAUGUGCAAAUCUGAGGAAUGAUAGCAUCCAUGAAGCUGCUGUACAAAGAAUGGCCAACAACUAUCAAAUGCUAGGAAUAGCAAUAGCAACCAUACCCAGUGCCAUUGUAACCAUCAUGUUGGGACCUUGGAGUGACAGACAUGGUCGUAAAAUUCCCAUGAUAUUACCAUUGUUUGGAAUGAUAAUAGAAAACAUUCUGUGUAUAUUUCUAGUACGUUGUUAUCAAAUUCCCUCUGUAUAUAUUUUGCUGGCUUAUUUUAGUGGAGGUAUACUUGGUGGAUUCAGUUGUGUCAUUACUGGUAUUUACAGCUAUGUUUCUGAUGUUUCAUCUUCAAACUCUCGAACAUUUAGAUAUGGUGUUGCAGAUUUGUUUUUCGCCUUGGGACUUCCUACUGGAACUUUAACUGGUGGACAGAUCUUCAAGUACUGGGGUUAUAGUGCUGUUUUUGGAACUUCUGCUGUCAUUUUACUCCUUGCUAUUUUGUAUAUUUGGCUAUUCUUAGGAGAUUCUUUGUUGUUAGAUAAUAAAUCAAGCUUUAAAAGGAAGAUUUUGGACAUUUUUAAUGUAUCUGACUGGAAAGAAAGCAUUUACUCUUGUCUGAAAAAGCGACCUGGUAAUGCACGUGCACGAAUCCUGUUACUAGUCAUUUCAAUGUGUUUUAUUGUAGUUUCCUACAUUGGAAACUCAACAAUUGGGUAUCUGUAUGCUCAAAGGAUGUAUAACUGGGAUGUCACUAUGUACUCCAAUGUGUCGACAAUCUUUACCAUUCUUAGUGUGGUUAUAAUGACUGGAAUACUCCCACUUCUAACAAAAGUUUUUGUGGUAAAAGAUGCUGUUCUUGGGAUACUUGGACUAACUUCUUAUAUCGGUCAAAGUUUAGGAAGAGCAUUUGCUUUUCAAGAAUGGACUUAUUAUGCUGAACUCAACCAGUUAGAUGUUAUGCUGAAAGCAGAAGAGAGGCAGUGACAGAGGAUUCCAUGACAAUUCAAAAAAUGUAGAAUGAAUGUUUAAUCUUUUUAAUUUGUGUUUCUGUGACACACAAUUUAGUAGGUCUCCCAGUGAAACAAAUGUUUUUAUUUGUUUUAUUGUUUAUUUUCUUUAUUUGGUUUUCAAAUUAAGUUUAAAAAAACUUUAAAAACCUGUUAAUUUGGAGAUAAAUCAGCUAUAUUCUUAUCCAAAAAUGUUGCAACAAAAUUUUGAUGUGAAGGAAUAAUUCAGACUUUAUUGUCAGAACUUGCAUGGUAAAAUCUCUGUCAUCACACACAAAGUAAUGGUGUUCUUCAUGGAAAUUUUACACCAUCAGCUUUUGGCACAUUAAAUGGAGCAGCACCCGUAGCAGUUCGAGCCUCACUAUCCAAAUCAAUUCAUAACAAUGAAAUAGG